GAUGAAGAAGUAGCGAAAUGCGAUAAGUAAUGCGAAUUGCAGAAUUCAGUGAAUCAUCGAAUCUUUGAACGCACAUUGCGCCCGCCAGUAUUCUGGCGGGCAUGCCUGUCUGAGCGUCGUUUCGACCCUCGCGCCCGGCUUCUGUCGGGGGCGGUGUUGGGGAUCGGCCACACCCUUCAGUGGGAGGCCGGCCCCUAAAUUCAGUGGCGACCACGCUGUAGCCUCCCCUGCGUAGUACUAAAACCACCUCGCAGGCGGAGAGCGGUGCGGCCCGCCGUAAAACCCCCCAACUUUUACAAGGUCGACCUCAGAUCAGGUAGGAAUACCCGCUGAACUUAAGCAUAUCAAUAAGCGGAGGA
rnacentral:misc_RNA from 1 species